GUUGAGAAGAGACAGAGAAUAUGGUUGAAGUAAUAAGAAGAUUUGCAGAGAAGAAUAAUGAAGAGAGGAAUAGAGAAGAGAAACAAUGGGGUCCUCUAUAGAGAUGAGCAUUGCAAGAUUAUGUCCUCCCUCUUCUUCUCCUUCAGAUAGUGCUUCAUCAGUCACAUAAUCUGUUAACCAGGUAUGUGAGCAUAAGCCACACAUCCAAACACACGGAAACACUCAACACUAGGCUUCAUGUUACUCCAAGC